rnacentral:hammerhead_ribozyme from 1 species
GUCCAGAUGACGAGUCCCAAAUAGGACGAAACACUUGUACUGGAU